rnacentral:tRNA from 1 species
GCAUUCAUGGUGCAACGGUUAACACACUCGGCUCGUAUUCGAGAGGUUCAGGUUCGAAUUCUGGCGAGAGCA